CUCUGGUCAUGGAUAGGGUCGUGGUCCGGAGGGUUCUCCUGGCCCUGCUCCUCACCCACCUACCACAGUCAAAGGAUAAGAAGAUAUGGAAUGUGGUGAUGGUGAACCCUGACCUUGCGGAGCAGCUCCCGGAUCUUCUCUGCGUCUUUGGCGGCGUAGAUGUGCCACAGUGCCCCGGGCUUCUCCUUGGCCUCGUACACCCUCCUCUUGGUCAUCUCGUCUACGUCACCCUCCUCGAUGGUGCUCAUCACCUCUGCGGGACCACACAGAGAGAGAGACAGGGAUGAGCAAACUCCGGCAUCGGUCAGUCACUGACAGAGUCCAUGUUCAAAGGGAAUGAUGUAGGAAAGAAGAAGUGCAACACUAAACAUCACAAAGCACAGAAGUACCGCACACCUUCACAUCCUACAGUUGUAGACACAGGAGGGAAAACACUACAAUUCAUUCACUACGUCGGAAUCACGAGGCGCCAUCUCAAACGACACCCUUUACCUAUUCCCCUAUGCAGUACACCAUCUUCUGACCAUAACCUUGUGGCCCCUAGUCAAAAUUAGCACAUUACAGGAGGAACAGGAGGAAUAGGGUGUCAUUUGAGACACAAGCCUAGGUGAAGUGCUGAUUCAUCAUCAGUCAUCCACAAUCAGAGGGGCGCUCGGCUGGCAGGGGGAAAUGGAAUCUCCCUGUUAUGACAUCAUUGUUGGCCAGUGGCAGCUGUGGGUUCAACCACAACACAGAGGUUCCAAAUGGCACCCUAUUCCUUCUGCAAUACACUACUUUUGUCAAAAUGGGUACCAUUUGGGAUGCAAUCAGAGUUGCUCAUCAUUUACUAAUCAAGCAAACAUUUAGGUGGCUAGUGAUAAACAGGACUAAACAACACUAACAGAGCUACAUGUUUUAUUCAAAUUCCAGUCAAUUGGACAAAUUAUCCAGAUUGCCAUAGAUCAAGUUGCCUGCGUGGAAGAGAGAGUGUGUGAGUGUGUUCAAUUGCUCUGACUUUGAUCUCUGUUAGGCAUAGAGUCCGGUACAGCUACAUAUGCUUGUCAUGGUGAUGUGUGUUUAUUUUAUAAUCUCUCCCCCCGCAUCUCUCCUCUAUGAAGAGAUAUCAGUCAGGGGGGAAUGUGACUCCAAAGAUGGUCAGCUAGCAAGUUGCUGCUCUUUUCUCUCCUUGAGAGUCAGUGAACCUGUGCAAGGAUACAGACAGUACCUACACCUUCAUACAUCUGGCCUUCCCCAACAGUCAAGGCCAGAACACCAGUUGUCCCAGAUAACAGAAGAUGUAAUGCAAGGAAAGACUUACUAACAUCUAACAGCAUGAAAAUAAAAACAGCAUAAAAGUUGUGUUAAAAGGUUUUAAAAAACAGAAUUUGGCUGACUGACUAUCAGAGCAUUACUGAAGGUCAGCUCUACACUGGAGGGAAGACCGCAGGCAGACUCCACUCAGACCACAAAUAAACCACAAACAGACAGAUGAGCCACAGUAGUGUUCUGGCCCCAACCGCACAGGGAGAGGACAUGAGGAUGGGGGAGUGGGAGAAAGAGAGAAGGGAGAAGUUAGUCAAGAAAAAAAGGCAUGCUAAGGAGGUGAUGUUAUAAAAAUGCACAGACCUUUACAUCCAGCGAUAUCCGUCUCUGUGAAUGAGAAAUUUGACCACAAUCAACACGUGAGACCCAUUAAAGGGCCUUACCAGGGUCCUGUCCAUUGAUGCAUGGGGAGGGGGGCUGGGUUAGCCUCGUUGGGCUUGUUUCACCAGAGUAGGACAGAAAACAGCAUUUCUUACCUUUUUUCUAUUUUUUUUUUAAUGGGUCUCUACUAAGGUGCAGGUGCCUUAAUAUGCAUGUAUGAUGUGUAUGUCGUUGUUCCUCAUCUAGUCCUUCUAAUCAUUAAUGAUGCUAGUGUUGAAAUAACAAUGUCCCAAGUUGGGAUGAAUAAAGUGGGAAACCUAGGAAAGUCUAUAGGAGUGACUGAAGACAGGCUUAAAUGGAACAUUUACACCAUUAUUCUGUCUCAAUGCUGAGGAAUGGCUUCCUGUCCUUAGUUUCCAGGAACUGGAAAUGCUGAAUGGGACAGUAGUGGGCGUUUGAUCUUUGUGUGAACCUAUAGACUUUCCUAUAGGAAACUUUGGAGCGCCUUUCAAAUCCAAUUGUACAUGAGCGGGCCAUUUCGGAGCCCAUGUGGUUUAACAGUUAACAUGUUUUUUGAAAGAUUUUGCAAUGUUUUUUUUUAAUUUUAUAUAUACUCUUUAGACCAGGGUUUCCCCAAUUUCUGUCCUCGGCACCCAAAGAGGUGCAUGUUUUGGUUUUUGCCCUAGCACGGCACAGCCAAUUCAAAUAAUCAACUAAUCAUCAAGCUUUGAUAAUUUAAAUCCGCUGUGUAGUGUUAGGGCAACAACCUAAAACAUGCACCCCUUGGGGUCCCGAGGUCAGAGUUUGGGAAAUGCUGCUUUAGAUGUAAGGUGUUUUAACCUGUCAUAAUAAAACUGCUGAAAAAUA